AGCUAGCCAAUAGGAACGCGCCUACGGCGCCCGAAAAGGGACAUCAGCCGCUCAGCCGCAUUCCAAGAGGGGCGGAGUGAGAAGGGUCCUUCCAAGGUGAGGUCCCUGCCCCGGAGAUGGGAGAACCCCUCGGCUGAGCAGAGACGGCUUUUCGAGCUCUCAGGCGUCCCCCAGGUUCAUGCAGGUUACAGGUGGCACCCCCGAUCAGCGACAGAAUCAGGUACUCUACAAAGUGGCGCCCAAACAGGGACUUCAAGGACAUGAAGAAGAAGGUCUGCUGGAGCAGAGGAACUGAAAUUGACAAGGUGAACGGGGAUCCCAGGAUGAGUCUGCCAGCAGCGGAUAUAAGGAGAUGGACAAACCGUGUGGGUGCCCUCAAGGUGCACGCAACCAUGGAACAGGAGACUGGAAGAACCCAGGGUGGCCAACCAUGGGCCCGGUCCCUCCGAUAUGAGCCAUGAGCCAGCUGAGCCUGAGUCCAAAGAUGGAGAGAAGGCCGAGCAGAGUGAUGAUGACAUCAACCCCCACAACCUGAGGAGAACUCAAGAAAACCACGCGGGAAGCUGAGAAACUACUGGAGCAUCAGUGACAGGCAAAAACCCCUGAUUCCAUGUUCUUGGCCAUGUUAGCCAGUGUCCUGUGCGGUAUGUUUUUGCUGUGCAGAGGCAAAAACAUUGUGCAUAUGUUCUCAAUCUCCCAGCAGUACGACCUGUACUUUGGAGCGACACUCCUCCUGAGAUUUAUCAUGAUCAGGGAGAGUGGGCUCCAGGACCCCUAACUCCCCCUGACAUAGAACAGUUAGACUCUCAGAAUAAUGCCAUUAAUUAUACCACUCCACUGGAAGGACUUCCUUUGUGAAUCAACACAAAGACGUCGCUCAGCCAUAGCUGUCUUACAAUUCAAGCUCAAACAUGGUUGAAACACUAUGGAAAAAUUAUGUACUUAAUAAGUCUUGGUUCUAUUAAUGUAACUGGUGUGCUAACCAACCUUUCCCGGCCCAAUCGCCCUGAUUGUGCUGAUUAUAUGGAAUAGAUUCCAUUCAGUAGUUCCUACCCCCCUCCGUGGACCCACUGUCUUGGUCCACUGGCUAGAAAACAAUCUAUGUUAACUGGAGACAUUGUGGAUUGGGGACCUAAAGGUCAACUAGAUCGAAAAGAUGAAAAUCAGAAAUCAUGGCACAAACUUCACUGGCAUUGGUGGCAAAUUUUUAAUGCUUCUUCUUUAUACAGUACUGGGAUCCAAUCCCAGUCUACUGCCCAGAUUGCUUGGCAUGGAGCAGGCUUUAGCCCACCUCUUCCUCAGUGGCAUUAUCUAGGGAGGAAAGGACCAAUUCAAGAGACGAUAUGGAAGGCAGCACUCCCAUUUAUGAAUGGCAACAUCUGGAUUGGAAUACGAUCCAAUAAUAGCAAUAGUAAGCAACACAAUCUUAAUGUUGCAUUUGUAAAGAAUAUCACCACUUGAUUUACAGUUUUUGUUUUUAAUUCUUAUGUCUUUUUGGCAGCUAAGAAGAACCAGCUCCAGGUAAACAAUACCCAAUUGACCUGUAAAUCUUGCCAGUUUUAUCACUGCAUUAAUCACAGCACAUUGCAAACACAUAGUAUUUCUACCUUGAUGAUUUUGGGUCACAUCCCUGGGCUAUGGAUUCCUGUUAAUCUGUCCAAACCUUGGGCUGCCACACCUGCUUUGCAUUUUGU